CACGUAGGGGGCAAGCGUUGUCCGGAUUUAUUGGGCGUAAAGAGCUCGUAGGUGGUUCGGUAAGUCGGGUGUGAAACCUCCGGGCUCAACCUGGAGACGCCACCCGAUACUGCUGUGACUGGAGUCCGGUAGGGGAGCGUGGAAUUCCUGGUGUAGCGGUGAAAUGCGCAGAUAUCAGGAGGAACACCAGCGGCGAAGGCGGCGCUCUGGGCCGGUACUGACACUGAGGAGCGAAAGCGUGGGUAGCAAACAGG
rnacentral:rRNA from 1 species